AUGCUUUCUUUCAUUGUUUAAUUUCCUCACUUACUUACUUAGAUAAAUAUCUAAUUGAAUUGCUUGCUUAACUCUUAUCCGCGCAUCCUUUAGUUGCAAGUAUAUUCAAAUUGUUUACUCAAGUUUCUUUUAAUAAAACUGCAUUAAGAUUCAUUAUAUUGAAAUGCUUGCUUGGAAAAAUCUAGACUAAUUGUUUAUUGAGUCCGCUCCUUAAUAGUUUUAAUCUUGAUCAGAUUAGAAUCAA
rnacentral:lncRNA from 1 species